rnacentral:rRNA from 1 species
GACGAACGCUGGCGGCGUGCCUAACACAUGCAAGUCGAACGGAAAGACCCUGCGUUUGUGGCUCGCUCGAGUGCCGAACGCGGGAGUAACACGCGAGUAACCUCCCCCUGACUUUGGGAGAACACCAGGAAACUGCGGCUAAUACCCCAGAGGAGCUCCUGCUGCGUGUGGGGGGUUGGAAAGUUUCGGCGGUUGGGGCUGGACUCGCGGCUUAUCAGCUUGUUGGGCGGGUAGGGGCGGACGAAGGCUUCGACGGGUAGCCGGCCUGGGAGGGGGACCGGGGACCUUGGGACUGAGGUACGCAGCAGACGCCUACGGGCGGCAGCAGUCGGGAGUAUUGCGCAAUGGGGGGACGCCUGAUGCAGCGGCGCUGGGUGCGGGAUGCUGGCUUACGGGUUGUAAACCGCUUUCGCCUGUGACGAAGCGUGAGUGACGGUAAUGGGUAAAGAAGCACCGGCUAACUACGUG